GAUGAACGCUGGCGGUCUGCUUAACACAUGCAAGUCGAACGAGAAAGCACUUCGGUGUGAGUAAAGUGGCGCACGGGUGAGUAACGCGUAGAUGAUAUGCCUUAUAGUGGGGGACAACAUCGUGAAAACGGUGCUAAUACCGCAUAAGCUUAGUGACAUUGAAAAGCUAAGGAAAGGGGCUUCUGGUCUCGCUAUAAGAUUGGGUCUGCGUUGACAUUAGCUUGUGUGGGUAAUGGCCUACCAAGGCGACGAUGUCUAGCUGGUCUGAGAGGAUGAUCAGUCACACUGGAACUGAGACACGGUCCAGACUCCUACGGGAGGCAGCGAGUAGGGAAUAUUGCACAAUGGAGGAAACUCUGAUGCGAGCAA
rnacentral:rRNA from 1 species